GCUGCUCAAGACUCUGAUUUCAAAUGAGGUCAUCUUCACAGUAGCAGACAAUGAUCCAAUUGUGAUAUCUACUGCAAGAGAAACAUCAUUCAUGAUACUCUCUUUGUGUUUCUGGAAUCAAGGUCCAGCGUACAUGAAAUACUGAUGCAGUUCACUAAAGAGAUUCCCUAGGCUUUUUGCAUUCAACCAAGAAAAGAUUCUUCUACAUUAAUGAAAGUCUUUAUAUGUCCCUCCUUCUUCCUUGAG
rnacentral:lncRNA from 1 species